AUUUGCUUCUCAGUCCCAGAAGCCCAAGUUCUAUGUUGCACAGAAAUCUGGCUCCAUUGUGCCUAGGUGGCCUGGUAGAAAGGGUUUUUUUCCUUCUUCUUCUUUUUUUUUUUUUUUGGUACCUUUUCUGCUAAGAAACGGCAAUGUGCUCUGCCUGCCUAACCCAGCCGCAGCCUGUCGUUCCCUAGACAAAAAGCGGUGGCCCGCUGCUCCCUGCAGCGGCCGCGGCCGCGACUCGGGGAGGCCGAGCCACCCGGACCCACGGGGUUACGUUUUCGUUGGGCCGGCUACAGAUGGUGCCCCAGCACCGCGCUGAGUCGGGGGUGGUGUGGGGGGGCAGGAGGACCGGAGGGGGAGGCCGGGAAGGGGGUCGGGCGGGAGGGGCGGAGACCGUGGAGCAGCCAAUGGGCGUGCAGCCCAUCAGCUGACCGCUUUUGCUUACACCAGGUGCACGCCGGCUGCGGGGAGCACAAAGCGGGGCGCACCGAGGGCGCCGGCAGCUAGCCGGCGAGCUAAGCGAGGCCCGUGCGCCCGCGCCUGCAGCGCCCUCCGGGCGGGGAGAGGGGCCGCCGGCGUCAGCGCGGGCAGCAGCAUCCGCGCGGUGGCAUCCCUAGGCGCUCCGGACGCCCUCCUUUGGACCUGGACACUCGCUGCCCCGCUGUCGGCAUCCCGCUUCCAUCCUUUACCCCAAUCCUGCCUGCCUCUGCCCGGCCCCGAGAGCCGGAUUGAGCCCAGGCCCGCGCAGCAGCUGUUGCUCGUGUUACUGCCUCGCUUCGCGUCUUGGUGCUCUGCCGCGAGCCCCCUAAGGAGCCAGUGCCUGUGGGUUUGGAGGGAGGUGCGGCUCAGCCGGUCCUCCUUCUCCUCUCCCUCCUGCUGCCGCCUCCGGUGCCCGGUCCGUGCGCACCCCGACACCCCUGCCAGCCGGGCCUCGGGGCACAUCUCCAGACUCUGAUUGGGCUGAAAUAACUUAUGCCAUAGAGCUGUGCAUAUGCCUGGAAUUGAGAGACACAGGUAAAGAGACUCCAGAUUGCGUCCUGCCUUCUGAAACGCCAGGAAAUCAUCCCUUCAGACUCUGGAAUUCUACAGCUUUCAACAGAGACUUUGCUUAAAUGUUUACAUUUUUUGCUUGCUGUCUUUCAUACCACUAUAUAGUGCUCGUGUUUUGUUAAAACUUAACAAUUGUCAGGAGUUC
ensembl:lncRNA